UCUCUGUUAGUAUAUCGGUUAGUACACGCGCCUGUCAUUGAAAAUGAUCGCGCGAAAGCGGGGUUCGACUCCCCGACAGAGAG